AGAGUAUGAUCCUGGCUCAGAACGAACGCUGGCGGCGCGCCUAAUACAUGCAAGUCGAGCGAGAAGGUGUAGCAAUACACUUGUAAAGCGGCGAACGGGUGAGGAAUACAUGGGUAAUCUACCAUCGAGUGGGGAAUAACCAACCGAAAGGUUGGCUAAUACCGCGUACGCUUCCGAAUCUUCGGGUUUGGAAGGAAAGCCGUGCUGUGAGUACGGCGCUCUUUGAUGAGCUCAUGUCCUAUCAGCUUGUUGGUAGGGUAACGGCCUACCAAGGCUUUGACGGGUAGCUGGUCUGAGAGGACGAUCAGCCACACUGGCACUGCGACACGGGCCAGACUCCUACGGGAGGCAGCAGUAAGGAAUAUUGCGCAAUGGGCGAAAGCCUGACGCAGCGACGCCGCGUGGGGGAUGAAGGUCUUCGGAUUGUAAACCCCUUUCGGGAGGGAAGAUGGAGCGAGCAAUCGUUCGGACGGUACCUCCAGAAGCAGCCACGGCCAACUUCGUGCCAGCAGCCGCGGUAAUACGAAGGUGGCAAGCGUUGUUCGGAUUCACUGGGCGUACAGGGUGUGUAGGCGGUUUGGUAAGCCUUCUGUUAAAGCUUCGGGC
rnacentral:rRNA from 1 species